rnacentral:rRNA from 1 species
UAGGGAAUCUUCCACAAUGGACGAAAGUCUGAUGGAGCAACGCCGCGUGAGUGAAGAAGGUUUUCGGAUCGUAAAGCUCUGUUGUUGGUGGAGAAGGAUAGAGGCAGUAACUGGUCUUUAUUUGACGGUAAUCAACCAGAAAGUCACGGCUAACUACGUGCCGG